rnacentral:rRNA from 1 species
AUGUGGAAGCUCAUCAAGAAUGGAAACUAUUCUGCUAAGUCUGCCUACAUGGCCCCGUUUACUAGGCUAACCCGAUCCAGCUUACAAACCAUGGUAUGGCUGGCUUGCCCCUCCCCCGCCCCGAAGUGCAAAUUCUUAGAUUGGCUAGUCACUCAAAACAUGAUAUGGACGGACGAUGGACUCCAGCACCAAGGAUGGCCAACUACGACCGAUGCCCAUUGUGCAACCAAGUACAAGAAUCUGCAGCUCACCUUCUGUUCAAGUGCCGGUGCUCCACACAUGUUUGGAACGAGCCGUUCUCCUGACUUGAUCUUCAUAUUUCAACCGUUCUUUGGCACCGGUUUGACACAGUCAAAUCUUGGUGGGGUUGGAUCCUCACUAACAAUGCUCAACCCACGAAAGCACCGUCUUCUUUGCUGA